rnacentral:rRNA from 2 species
GGAGAGUUUGAUCCUGGCUCAGGAUGAACGCUAGCGGCAGGCCUAAUACAUGCAAGUCGAACGAUAUUUUCCAGCUUGCUGGAAGAGAAAGUGGCGCACGGGUGCGUAACGCGUAUGCAACCUACCUUUAUCAGGGGGAUAGCCCGGAGAAAUCCGGAUUAAUACCGCAUAAAAUCACAGAAUAGCAUUAUUUAAUGAUCAAACAUUUAUGGGAUAAAGAUGGGCAUGCGUGUCAUUAGCUAGUUGGCGGGGUAACGGCCCACCAAGGCGACGAUGACUAGGGGAUCUGAGAGGAUGACCCCCCACACUGGUACUGAGACACGGACCAGACUCCUACGGGAGGCAGCAGUAAGGAAUAUUGGUCAAUGGAGGCAACUCUGAACCAGCCAUGCCGCGUGCAGGAAGACUGCCCUAUGGGUUGUAAACUGCUUUUAUCCGGGAAUAAACCUCUGCUCGUGAGCAGAGCUGAAUGUACCGGAAGAAUAAGGAUCGGCUAACUCCGUGCCAGCAGCCGCGGUAAUACGGAGGAUCCAAGCGUUAUCCGGAUUUAUUGGGGUUUAAAGGGGUGCGUAGGSSGGCCCUGUUAAGUUCAGGGGUGAAAGACGGUAGCUCAACUAUCGCAGUGCCCUUGAUACUGAUGGGGCUUGAAUGGACUAGAGGUAGGCGGAAUGAGACAAGUAGCGGUGAAAUGCAUAGAUAUGUCUCAGAACACCGAUUGCGAAGGCAGCUUACUAUGGUCUUAUUGACGCUGAGGCACGAAAGCGUGGGGAUCAAACAGGAUUAGAUACCCUGGUAGUCCACGCCCUAAACGAUGAAACACUCGCUGUUGGCGAUACACAGUCAGCGGCUAAGCGAAAGCGUUAAGUGUUCCACCUGGGGAGUACGCCCGCAAGGGUGAAACUCAAAGGAAUUGACGGGGGCCCGCACAAGCGGAGGAGCAUGUGGUUUAAUUCGAUGAUACGCGAGGAACCUUACCCGGGCUUGAAAGUUAGUGAAUGAUCUAGAGAUAGAUCAGUGAGCAAUCACACGAAACUAGGUGCUGCAUGGCUGUCGUCAGCUCGUGCCGUGAGGUGUUGGGUUAAGUCCCGCAACGAGCGCAACCCCUAUGUUUAGUUGCCAGCAUGUAAAGGUGGGGACUCUAAACAGACUGCCUGUGCAAACAGAGAGGAAGGAGGGGACGACGUCAAGUCAUCAUGGCCCUUACGUCCGGGGCUACACACGUGCUACAAUGGACGGUACAGAGGGCAGCUACAUAGCAAUAUGAUGCGAAUCUCACAAAGCCGUUCACAGUUCGGAUUGGGGUCUGCAACUCGACCCCAUGAAGUUGGAUUCGCUAGUAAUCGCGUAUCAGCAAUGACGCGGUGAAUACGUUCCCGGGCCUUGUACACACCGCCCGUCAAGCCAUGGAAGUUGGGGGUACCUAAAGUAUGUAACCGCAAGGAGCGUCCUAGGGUAAAACCGAUAACUGGGGCUAAGUCGUAACAAGGUAGCCGUA